GAGCGCGAGGCCCCGCCCCGCGCCGCGUCGGGCCGGGUCUCGCCCCGUGGCGUCCCUCCCGUGAGUUCCUCGUAAGCUCGCUGGCUGAGGCGCUGGGUGGUGCUCCUGCGCCGCCAUGGCGCAACAUUUCUCCCUGGCCGCCUGUGACGUGGUUGGCUUCGACCUGGACCACACUCUGUGCCGUUACAAUCUGCCUGAGAGCGCCCCGCUCAUUUAUAAUAGCUUUGCCCGGUUCCUAGUCAAGGAGAAAGGGUACGAUAAGGAAUUGCUCACUGUGACCCCAGAGGACUGGGAUUUCUGUUGCAAGGGUUUGGCAUUGGAUCUGGAAGAUGGAACCUUCAUUAAACUUGCAGAGAAUGGCACUGUGCUCAGGGCGAGUCAUGGAACCAAAAUGAUGACUCCGGACAUGCUAGCUGAGGCAUAUGGGAAGAAGGAGUGGAAAUACUUCGUGUCUGACACUGGCAUGCCCAGCCACCCAGGAAAGUAUUAUUUUUAUGAUAACUAUUUUGACCUGCCAGGAGCUCUCUUAUGUGCCAGAGUGGCGGAUUCUUUAACAAAGCAGAACAGUGGUCAAAAAACAUUUGAUUUUUGGAAGGAUAUAGUUGCUGGUAUUCAACACAAUUUUAAAAUGUCAGCUUUUAAGGCCUACAGGUUCACAACUGCUUGGAAUAGUAGCAGCUCGUGUGCCAUUCAUAUUGAGAAAAAAAACUGUGGACUGUAUUUUCCAGAAAUAAAAAGAGAUCCAGGCAAAUAUUUACACAGUUGUCCCGAAUCUGUGAGAAACUGGCUUCAACAGCUAAAGAGUGCCGGGAAGAUUCUUUUGUUAAUUACGAGUUCUCACAGUGAUUACUGCAAACUGCUCUGUGAGUACACGCUCGGGGAUGAUUUUGCAGACCUUUUUGAUAUUGUGAUUACAAAUGCACUGAAGCCUGGUUUCUUCUCCCAUUCACCAAGUCAGAGGCCUUUCUACACACUCAAGGACGAUGAGGAGCAGGAGUCGCUACCGUCUCUGGAUAAGCCUGGCUGGUACUCCCAGGGGAACUCUGCUCACCUUUAUGAGCUUCUGAAGAAAAUGACCAGCAAACCGAAGCCCAAGGUUGUUUACUUUGGUGACAGCAUGCACUCAGACAUUUUCCCAGCGAGUCAUUAUAGUCACUGGGAGACAGUUCUCAUCCUAGAAGAACUCAGAGGGGAGGAAGGUGAAAAGCCUGAGGAGGCAGAGCCUCUGGAGAAGAAGGGAAAAUAUGAGUUUCUGAACGGGAAAAUACAGAGGACUCCUUGGUUUAUACAUGGUCUUCUAACAAAAUCAGUACUUACAGCACUAUUGCAAUUCCAAGUCUUGAAGCAAUUGCAGAUUCAUAUUUUUAAUGAGAGAGUAUGACAGUGGAAGCCACUGGAUUAUCAUAAAGUAGCUGGGUAACACCUACUAAGAGAAUAUGGUUAUGCAUAGUAACAAAGUCAAAGCACCCAACAAUGACUAUAGCAGAAAUGUGAAUUCUUUCUUCUUGCUGAAUCCACAGCCUUAGGAAUCCCCAGCCUGGGGAUCCUUAUUUUAACAGAACAGUUAUCUGCCUGUCUGGUUAUCCCAUACCCAGAUUUCUUUAGUUUUUGUUUGUUUGGUUUUUGGUACCAGGGAUUGAACUCGGGUCCUUGCACUUGCGAGGCAGGCGGCGGAACCACUGAGCUAAAUCCCCGGCCCUCCCAGAUUUCUUUAUAAUAGACCUUUUUUUUUUUUUUAAACAAAAUAAAAUUAUUUGUUUGAAAUGAGACAAGACUGAAAAGCAAAGUUUUAUGUUCCACUUUUGCCUCUUAAUUAGACUUGGUUUUCUCAUUCACAAUUAAAUACCUAGAAGCCAUUUUUGUAUUGUAUCAAUCACUUUCCCAUCACUGGGACACUACCACACACACACAACUUAAAGAGUUUUAUUUGAUUCCUAAGAGUUCAGUAGGUUUAGUCCAGCUUUAGUCCAUAGUUGGCUGCUCCAAGGCAGAAAGCAUGGUGGAGAAAAGCUGUUCAUCCCAUAGCAGCCAGGAAGCAGAGGGCAAGGGGAACAGCCAAGGACAAGAAUACACAUGCACCCAGUAACACACCUAUUCUGACUAAGCCCCGCCUGCUAAGAGGAUAUUCAACAAUGGACUCAUUGAUGGAUUGAUCCACUCAGGAGUAUGACACCCCCAUAAUCCAGUCACUUUGCAAAAGCCACACCUCUGAAUACAUGAGUCUUUGGGGGCAAGGGAGAGGUAAAGAUCUAAACCAUAACAAAGCUGUUACAAAGUUUGUACUUAACCACAUAUAUAACAAUAGUGUUUGGUUUGUAAGUAUUCUUUUAAGGUAAUCUUUUUAACAUUAUACACAUUAUAUACAUUAUAGCUAGACAGACAUGUAAGCAUUUCCUUUAGGCAGUUAUAGGAAGGGGUCGGGGGUGGUUGGCUCAACUUGUUCUGUAUCAUUUUGGUAGUUUAUCAAAUCCAGGACCUCAGAUGUAUGAUUUUAGAAACUCAUUGUUAUCAGUUUACUUCCCAAUGCCUUUUUCAAUGCAUGGCUCAAAAUGUACUCUAGCCAAUAGAACAGUGAGGACCAAUGUCAGGCACUCAUGCUGGAUAUUUUUCCAUUCACAAUAAUCCUAGCUUUCUCUGGUAUCAAGAAGGCAGUGUUCCCUCUCAUAAAGACUAACUGCUUGAGACUUGAUUUAGUGGCAUCUAUUAUAAAAUAAUUUAUGCCGAUACCAUUUUCAAAAUGUUCAGUACUACUAAAUGAUAUUUUUCUUUGUAAAAUUUGUGAAAUAAUUGAUUAUUGCCCUAUAUCUGCAUGUGGAAUGAACAUGACAUAGGUCACUAGGCUUCACUUGGAAUAUUUCCAGUUGUUUCCUUGGAGAAAUUAAAGGCUAAGAUCUUGAAAAGCCCAUUAUGUAGAUAACACAGUGUCCCACCAUCAAAGUAUGCAGUGUAUGUUCUCCCGAUUCUCCUCCUGGUCCUAGUUCUGCCCGUGUGCACACAUGGGAUGCUUAUCUCAUAGAAAUGCCAUGUUGCACAUGUUCUUACUUUGCUAAAUAUUCAAAGAUUAUUCUUAGUAACCUUCUAAUUUCUCCUUAGGGAUAUAAAGAGUAUUCACUAACAUUCAGUAGUUAUUUGAUCUCCUGAGUAGGACCUGAGAGAUUUUGUUUUUAAAGUUUCUAAUUCAGAUGAGCAUUCCUAUUUUAGGUGUUAAUUUUUGUGUAGAGUACUACAACUCACUAGAGCUCUGAUUUAAAUAUUAUGGUAAACUUUAUAAGGAAGAACAUCUACACUCAUCCUUGAUGCCACCUAUGGGGGAAGGGCAAAAGAAAUAUUAAAUUUAUGAAAUUCUAAAAAAUAAAACAGAAUAUUAGCUUUUGAUUUGCUUGUAUUUAUGAAAUUUAUUUGGGAACCUAUAUAAUAAUCCAAUUGUGGU